ACUCGCAAGAGUCCUAAAGGUCAGUGGAAGACUACCACAUUGAUAGGCUGGAGGUGUAAGCUUAGUAAUAAGUUCAGCUUACCAGUACUAAUAGACCGUGUGCCUUAACCCC
rnacentral:rRNA from 1 species